UACGGAGGAUCCGAGCGUUAUCCGGAUUUACUGGGUGUAAAGGGAGCGUAGACGGCGGGGCAAGUCUGGAGUGAAAGGCCGGGGCCCAACCCCGGGACCGCUCUGGAAACUAUAUGACUGGAGUGCAGGAGAGGUGAGCGGAAUUCCUAGUGUAGCGGUGAAAUGCGUAGAUAUUAGGAGGAACACCAGUGGCGAAGGCGGCUCACUGGACUGUAACUGACGUUGAGGCUCGAAAGCGUGGGGAGCAAACAGG
rnacentral:rRNA from 1 species